AAGGACCCGUGGAUCGUUAUCUCAAACCCCAACCUUGAAGCCCCGAUCCAUCCAUUCCGAGCAGGAGAUUGGGUUUUGAUACGAGAAUGGAAGGAAUUGAAACUGCAACCUGAGUGGGACGGACCGUUCCAGCCAAGCCCCAGGACCACGUCCCCCAGCCCAGCACUGACACUUCGCUCACCUAACAUCCCAAAGAGAUGCAUCACGCUCCUUGCUCCUGCACUCGGAGCAUCUCCAGGUUCUAGGAUCUGCCAGGAUCUGGAACCGUUGGCAUCCGGCGCG
rnacentral:lncRNA from 1 species